CAAAGAGUAGUUUAAUUAAAAUAAUAAUUUUGGAGAUUAUUGAUAUAAAUUUUUUUAUUUCUUUGA
rnacentral:tRNA from 1 species